rnacentral:rRNA from 1 species
UACGUAGGGACCAAGCGUUGUCCGGAAUCAUUGGGCGUAAAGAGCGUGUAGGCGGCUUGUUAAGUCUUGCGUGAAAUCUCGGGGCUCAACCCCGAGCGGUCGUGAGAAACUGGCAGGCUAGAGUGCGGGAGAGGAGAGUGGAAUUCCUGGUGUAGCGGUGAAAUGCGCAGAUAUCAGGAAGAACACCCGUGGCGAAGGCGCUCUCUGGAACGCAACUGACGCUGAGACGCGAAAGCGUGGGGAGCAAACAGG